rnacentral:rRNA from 1 species
AGGGGAAUAUUGCACAAUGGGCGGAAGCCUGAUGCAGCGACGCCGCGUGGGGGAUGAAGGCCUUCGGGUUGUAAACUCCUUUCGACAGGGACGAAGCUUUUGUGACGGUACCUGUAUAAGAAGCACCGGCUAACUACGUGCCAGCAGCCGCGGUAAUACGUAGGGUGCGAGCGUUGUCCGGAAUUACUGGGCGUAAAGAGCUCGUAGGUGGUUUGUCGCGUCGUCUGUGAAAUUCCGGGGCUUAACUCCGGGCGUGCAGGCGAUACGGGCUGACUUGAGUGCUGUAGGGGAGACUGGAAUUCCUGGUGUAGCGGUGAAAUGCGCAGAUAUCAGGAGGAACACCGAUGGCGAAGGCAGGUCUCUGGGCAGUAACUGACGCUGAGGAGCGAAAGCAUGGGUAGCGAACAGG